AAAAAAACUGGUAGACCUCUCUUUCUUAAGGACUCUAAGUGGACACAUGGCUGUUGGUGGACAAACACUGCCGAUUACACAACUUGUGACCUCUCAUUUACAGGACAGUGUCUCUCCUUCAUUCCAGCAGGCCACCCUAUGAAGCAGCUCAGUACACAAACACCCAGAGACACACACAUAUACACACAAACCUGGUUGGCCAUUGGCCUGCAGGGCUGUGCAGGGCAGGAAGGGAAUCAUUCACUGUAAACUGAACAAGGACUGGCUUCCUCUGGGAGUCCCCUAGCCUGACAGCAGCCAAGAUCCCUGCAACACAAACCACUCUAGCAGACACACACACACACACAGCAAUCAGCACGUACACACGCUGGAACUAGGACACAUUCUCUCAUCUGUUACUCGUCUCUCUUUCCUCAAUUCCGUCUUUUUUUUUACUCUCCCUUCCUGCCCUUCUCUCAAUUUCCAGCCUACUUUCAUCUCCUGCUCCAUCCUACUACGUUCCCGCAUCAAUUUUCUUCAAACAGCUCUUCUUCCUUAUUUUGUUUUUGUUUUAUCUUCUGUUUUUAAUUUUUAUGGUUCUUUUUUCUCUUCUCUUUCUUUCUCUGUGUUGCUUCCUCCCUCCUAUCAGGGAAGUUUACAAAGUUUGUAUAGCAAAGAGAGGAUACCUCUGGAAAGUUUGCAUUGCAUUUUCUUAUUAGACAGAUGCAGAUUUGGUUAAGCAACAAUCUUAAUAAUCAAGCCCUGUAAACGGGGGAGAAACAAAUACAGUCUAUUGCUUUUUAAAGCAGGCCAAAGAAAUAAUAAUUCAUGAUAUUAAAAAAGGAUUGCUCUACAUGUUACCUUUCUGUCAUGUCACCUUUCUCCUCCACACAAGCAAACAUUUACACACCAACAGGAACGGAAGCAGGGGAUGCAUAUCCGUCAGCUGAUCCAACUGGAAAUGCUGACACUUGUCUCCCCAUCUGCUACUGCACUCUGAGACAAUGGGGGAGGAAGGCAGACUAGGGGGACAGAGAAAGCGAGAAGGAGCAU
ensembl:lncRNA